rnacentral:rRNA from 1 species
GGGAGGUAGUGACAAUAAAUAACAAUACGGGGUUCUUUCGGAUCUCGUAAUUGGAAUGAGUACAAUUUAAAUCUCUUAACGAGGAACAAUUGGAGGGCAAGUCUGGUGCCAGCAGCCGCGGCAAUUCCAGCUCCAAUAGCGUAUAUUAAAGUUGUUGCAGUUAAAAAGCUCGUAGUUGAAUUUCGGGGUUAGUAAGUUGGUCAUGCCAUUGGUAUGCACUGGCUUUACUGAUUCCUCCUUCUUGACGAACCGUGAUGUCAUUAAUUUGGUGUUGCGGGAAAUCAGGACUGUUACUUUGAAAAAUUAGAGUGUUUAAAGCAGGCUAACGUCUGAAUACAUUAGCAUGGAAUAAUAAAAUAGGACGGUGGUCCUGUUUUGUUGGUUUCUGAAUCACCGUAAUGAUUAAUAGGGAUAGUUGGG